CCUACGGGGGGCAGCAGUGGGGAAUAUUGGACAAUGGGCGAAAGCCUGAUCCAGCCAUGCCGCGUGUGUGAAGAAGGCCUUCGGGUUGUAAAGCACUUUCAGUGGGGAAGAAAGCCUUGGGGCUAAUACCCUCGAGGAAGGACAUCACCCACAGAAGAAGCACCGGCUAACUCCGUGCCAGCAGCCGCGGUAAUACGGAGGGUGCGAGCGUUAAUCGGAAUUACUGGGCGUAAAGCGCGCGUAGGCGGUCUGAUAAGCCGGUUGUGAAAGCCCCGGGCUCAACCUGGGAACGGCAUCCGGAACUGUCAGGCUAGAGUGCAGGAGAGGAAGGUAGAAUUCCCGGUGUAGCGGUGAAAUGCGUAGAGAUCGGGAGGAAUACCAGUGGCGAAGGCAGCCUUCUGGACUGACACUGACGCUGAGGUGCGAAAGCGUGGGUAGCAAACAGGAUUAGAUACCCUAGUAGUC
rnacentral:rRNA from 1 species